GUGAAGAGAGAUGGCUGUUCUCAAUGCUGAAUGUUUUUUCCUUUUUGUCUAGGGCUGCUUCCCCAAGCCCACAGUCUGUAAGAAGGGUCUCAUCCUCCCGAUCUGUCUCCGGGUCUCCUGAGCCAGCAGCUAAAAAGCCCCCAGCACCUCCAUCCCCCGUCCAGUCUCAGUCACCGUCUACAAACUGGUCACCAGCUGUACCGGUCAAAAAGGCCAAAAGCCCAACACCGAGCCCAUCACCGCCAAGAAAUUCAGAUCAGGAAGGAGGUGGAAAGAAAAAGAAGAAAAAGAAGGACAAGAAACACAAAAAGGAUAAGAAGCACAAGAAGCACAAAAAACACAAGAAGGAAAAGGCUGUGGCUGCAGCUGCUGCAGCUGCUGUGACCCCUGCAGCCAUUGCAGCUGCCACAACCACAUUAGCACAGGAAGAGCCAGUGGCAGCGCCAGAGCCGAAGAAGGAGACUGAAAGUGAAGCUGAAGAUAACCUUGAUGAUUUAGAAAAGCACCUGCGUGAAAAGGCCCUGAGAUCAAUGAGGAAGGCCCAAGUGUCCCCACAGUCUUAGGGGGAAAUGUUUGUUAUGAUGUAAAUUUUAUUUGGUUUGUACGCAGUUCAAUUUCAAAAUUGCUAAAAUGUGUUUGAGCUUUAGACUAUAACAUUUGUUGUAAUAAUUGCUAGGUUGAAGUUCAACAUGUAAAAAAAGGGGGCAUGGAUUUACAUUGCAAAAGGUGUCCACAGUGUAUUAGUGACAUUCUUUCAUUGACAGCUGACAUAAUUCAUUGAGUGAAAUAUUUUAAGCCAAAAAAAAAUUCCCUUUUUAAAAAAGGGGGUUUAAAUACUGUUGGCAUUUUUAUGGUUCCUUUAAAUGCCCUAGCUAUUCCCAGAGGGGUUUUUUUGUUUGUUUUUUUGGUUUUGAUUUUCUUUUUGUUUUUCUUUCUUCUUCUUAUUUUUUUCAUUUGAGUCUUAGCUCCCAUUUAAGUUAUGCUUCUGACCUUGUAUGGUCUGUAAGCUUGCCCAGAAAUAAGACCACUGUUUUGAACUACCAC
rnacentral:lncRNA from 1 species